UCCUUGGAUGCAAAAUCAGACCUGAGUUGACAAAUGACUCACUAAAUGACAAUAGCUAGGACUCUAGUAUCAUCUCAACAUGGGCCAAAAUAUUUAGUAGAGUACCUACAUGAAAGUAAACAAAAAGCUUGGUGAUGCAGGAGCAUCCGACUAGACCCGAACUCGUACCCAAUGACGAUUCAUCAGAGAUUGGUUGGAAAGUGGAGACUUACUUGGAAGAGAUCGAGGCGAAAUCUUUUAUUAACUAUUUGAAUUAUAUUUCCAUAUUUAUCUUUAAUUUAUUGAGUAUAAGUAGGGCAUCUAGGGUUUACUAUUUUUCAGUUUAUGUUGAUUAUUGAAUAGAAAGAACUAUGUUCCUUUUGGUUCUUUUUAUCAUCUUUGAUUAAUCAAUCUUUCUUGAGCCACUUACGGUCGACUACGUUUGUUAUUGGGACACGAAGAACAAGAGAGCAGAGACAAUUGCCAUUUUUAACAAGCUCAAAGUAAUCAUCAGUCAUGGCUUUGACGCCUUUCAGCAGACUUGUUGGCAAUGGUAAACGGGGUAGGUUUGAUUAAUCGAGAUACCGAUGGCCAUGAUGAAAAUAAGUAAACUUGUGUCUGCGGUAGUAACAACAGCAGUUGUGAUCUACAACUACAACCUAAGGAAUCCGUCACGGGAAAACUCAUGGUCCCACCAAUACUCUGCCAACCAAUGGGACCAGGUAAAACACAACUUCCAUUGCCUUCAAGGGGUUAUUCAAACUUGAGAUCUCUGCUAGAGGGAAUCAGGCGUUUAGUAAUGUGCUACCAAAUUGAAGUUACGAAGUAGUGAUUAUGUGCUUCUUAAUUCGGUUACUAGUUUCAAGAUUUGUUUUUAUCGAACAAACAUUCUAUCUUUACUCUUUGUAAUUUGGACUUUGGAAUAUUAAACACGGAUGUUGAUUGAUGUGAAAUCAUUAUCGUGAGUGUUAUAACUCGUGGCAUUGAAUAAAUGUCAUGUAUCCUUUAGAUGUAGACACACAUUGUGUGCCCCUACCUACUUGUUGUCCUUUAAGAUCACUAAAAUUGCAUUGCUUUAGCUUUCUAAGAUUGUUUUCACCCUCGGUAUUUGGAUGUCUAUGUUUUCUUUUACUUUUACUUUAUGAUUAUCGAUUUGUUUUAGUUUUAUAAGGAGAGUUAGCCGAAUGUUUGCAGAAGAAAUCACUUUACGGGUGAGUUUAUCGCAUAAAUUUUAUGUCGCUCAAUGAAGACGACCAUAUUCUUUUUGUUGUGGGCAUUUGUAUCAAAAAGAUGUCGUGGGAUGGAUUGCACAUACGCCUAUGGUGAUUAAAGAGCUCAAUGCACAAAUGAUGCAGGUACUCUUUUGCUUAUAUAAAGUAUCAAAUUUUACAAAGUAUAUAUCAACCUCUCAUGGUAGUCACUUUGCAUACAAGAUGAUUCUUGCAAAGGUGAAAACUUUGUUGUAUGGUCCAAAUGAUUCCAUGUUGUCUAAUGUGGCGAUGACACAUGUGUAUUCGUGUCACAAACUUUAUACAUUCGAGCUUCUUUGUCCCAUGAAACACGCACCCUGUUUUAAAUUUGAAAUUCAAAUCUAGCACUUUACAUAAUCUUACUUUUUGAGCGAUAUAACUCUUUAUACCGUUGUACCUGACUUUUUUCUUGCUAACAAAUGAUGGUUCUCUUAAAAAUUAAGAAAAAAGAAAGAAUACCAUUCGUCUAGAUCAUCCGUUUUCGCGAACGAGGAUGUCUUUUUUUUUGUUUUAAAUUACAAAAACUAUCGCUUGCAACGAAGCAUCAUGGCUGAACUGGUCAAACUAUUAAUAUUCAUGUGGUCAAUGUGGUUUAUGAUUGUUUUGGUUGAAGUUAAACAUCAAGUAAUUUCUUGACACUUUUAAUUUUAAUAAUCAAAUGGUAAGUUUCCUUUGGAUAAGGAGUGAUAAUGUUUGCUUGUCUCACCCUUCAUGGAAUGCUAGUUGAGUUAUUGGAGUGUGGCCAGGCCAACUAGCUUUAGUUGUGAUGAUAGUACUACAUCAAGCAUCAAUUUGGGCCUAAAUUGUACAAUACAAGCAGGUACUGUGGUCCCAAUUUUAGGAAGGUACCCAUUGCCAUUAUUGUUAUUACUUCUGAGUAGUCAUAGCAACAUUUUUCUUUUUUCUUAAGGAAAUCUAUACAUAACUCAUAACUAUAACCUGGUGAUCGCGUUGGGUUGGCGGGUUGAAUAGCUGAACUUGAAUGUGUUCCACGUAUUUAUUCGUGUCAGAUGUUAAUCCCAACCUGAAUACACUUAACAUCAUGUAACCUGAACAUCAUAACCCUUUUAACCCAUUUAUCUUAAUAAGUCAAAUAGGGUUGUAACCAAGGUUAUUCAAAAAUUUGUGGCUUGUGGCUAGCUCAAAAUUGGCUUUUUUAUAAACGGCUGAGCUAAGCUCGAGCCAUGUUAAGUUCACUCGUGUGGCUCGUUUAAGUUAAACCCAAAUUAUAAUAUUUAUAAGCUAAAACUCAAUUUCAUUUAUAAAUAAGCCCACAUAAUAUGGUCCAUUGCCCACUAGACACCACCCAAAUAUCAAUUUUAGUAUUGAAUGUUUACUUGUAUGUUAAAAUAAAUAAAAAAAAUUAUUUUUAUAACUUAAAUGAGCUGUCUCGAGCUCGAACUUCAGCUCAAUAAAAAUCACAGAAGGCAAGUUGGCUUGCUUAAUUUUGAGCCUAAGCCAUCCAAGUUGUACCCAUGUUGUAUACAAGUUGACGAGUUGUAAUAAGUGGCAAACGUGCUGGUGGGUCGACCUGUUUAGUUAAACGGCUUAACCUGUACAUGACCUGGUUAAUUAAACGCACAUGUUUAUUUAACGUAUAGGUAUGACAAUCCAAAAUCUGAUUAUUUACCUGAAUUGUAUACUAUAUUAAAAGUAUAAGUUGGUGAUAUUUACAAUUUUACAUAGAUAAUCCUCUCCUUUUGUCACCUUUACACAAAUGAUCCUCACUUUUGUAUACACAAAGCAUCUGCCAAAUUUAGUUCAUUUUUAGGCAUGUUUAUUGUAUUCUAUAAUAAUAAUUACAAGUCAAUACAUUUGCUUAUAGGCUUUCUUUACACUUCAAUCAAUAUAUUUGGUUAACGCAUCACAUAACGUUUGGACUAAUUCGUUCGACGUUUACAAUGUAUCCACGCAGCGCAAGGGUCUAAUGACUAGUUUAUAUUAAAACCUCCAACUUUUUCAAUAUUCGGGUGGCCCAAGAAUACAAUGCCUUUUUUUAUAUUGCUGAUAGUAACUUGUACUUUUUUUUAUAUUGAUGAUAUUGUACUAUAACAUUAUUGGAAGACGCUUUAACCUCUCUCCAUGGGUGAAAAGUGAGUUGACUCGGUUAGGACUACACUUUUAUCUCAAAGAAGAGCAAUGUACAACUUUUCAUUGCUAUGGUACACCUUGUGACGCGUAUAUCGACUUUGUUCCAUUUGGGUGCGGUUUACAUGUUAAGAAUUGAAUAAACUAUAGCCAGAUACGAGGUUUUGUGCACAACAAUUUAUUAUAGAAAAAUAACAGAAACAUAAGUUUGUUGUGACAAAUAUAUGAAUACAGGCACAUGGUGCCCUUGGAUGCAUGAGUGAGUCGUAAAUUUAGAAUAUGUAAAAACUGACAAUGCGUCAAGUUUUUGC